UAAGGUCGAGGGCGGCUAGGCCUCGGCACCUAACCCUGAUUUUCAUUAGCUGUGGGUUCUGGUCUUUUGUUCUCCGCCCGCUGUUUUUCUCGCUGACUUCCAGCGGGCCAGGAAAGUCCAGACCUGCAGCGGGCCACCGCGCGUUCCCGAGCCUCAAAAACAAACGUCAGCGCAGGAGCUCCAGGUUCGCCGGGAGCUCCGCGGCGCCGGGCCGCCCAGUCCCGUACCCGCCUACAGGCCGCGGCCGGCCUGGGGUCUUAGGACUCCGCUGCCGCCGCGAAGAGCUCGCCUCUGUCAGCCGCGGGGCGCCGGGGGCUGGGGCCAGGCCGGGCGAGCGCCGCGAGGACAGGAAUGGAACUGGUCCCCGUGUUCGGUGUCUUACCUGAGCUGUGGGAAGUGCACCCGGAACUCGGUUCUCACAACC
rfam:Mus musculus chromosome 3, GRC primary reference assembly.